UAAGGUGAUUAUUGCGGCGGGGCUCACCUCUUCCCAUCUCGAACAGAGAAGUUAAGCCCGCCUGCGCAGAUGGUACUGCAUUUAUGUGGGAGAGAAUCGGAUAGGGUUUCUUUAA
rnacentral:rRNA from 1 species